GCCUUGGUGGUAUGGUGGUAACGCGCGUUCUCGGUAUGGAUGAAACGCGGGUUCGAUUCCCAUGUAAGCCU